GGUUUUCGAAGGAUAAAAGACCUUAAUUCAUAACC
rnacentral:ncRNA from 1 species